rnacentral:rRNA from 1 species
CCCCUAGACGUUCUGGGCUGCACGCGCGCUACAAUAAUACGCACAGCGAGUAUCACCGAGCUCGAAAGGGCAAGGUAAACAAUAGAAAAGGUACUGUAAUGGUUAUAGAUCCUUGUAAUUAUUGAUCUUCAACGAGGAAUUCCUAGUAAGUAUGUGUCAUCAUCACGCACUGAUUACGUCCCUGCCCUUUGUACACACCGCCCGUCGCUCCUACCGAUUGGGUGAGCCGAUGAAACUCUCGGAUGUAGGCUAUUCAUAGCCCGCAGAAGAGAUUUGAAUCGUAGCGCUUAGAGGAAGGAGGAGUCGUAACA